rnacentral:misc_RNA from 1 species
AAGUCGUAACAAGGUUUCCGUAGGUGAACCUGCGGAAGGAUCAUUAACACGUAUCCAACGUUAAACCCCCCUGUGAACUUUUAUACUUGCUCUCUUAACUGACGGAAUUGCAAUCCCUGGUAAAUCAUUGUUGAACAGAUUUUGAUUCAGGGACCUCAGUUUGACAGUAGGAUUGAGCGAUCGUUGCAAGUGGCCUGGUUUCCCCAAGCAGUCAGUGUCUGAAAGUGGCAUUGAUUGUGUAAGGAUAGCGCUUCUACGAUUCCUGCAGACCGUACACUCGGGCAGGAGCUUUGCCAAAGGGUCCCCAUGCCCCCUAAUAACCACAGUUUAAUGUGAAGCUCAAUGUAAUACAUUGGGUAAAAAAACCGAACAACUGUUAACAAUGGAUAUCUUGGUUCUC